CCUUCACCUCGCCCAUCUCAAUGAAGGUGGUGCUUUCUUUGCCUGAGGCGUAGGAUGAGGUCAUCUGGAUGCCAAGGGAAUCAAUGAUUAACAGAGUCUCGUGAUCAAUCUUCACAAAAUGGAGGUAACCAAGCAGGCCUAAGAGAGUGAUGAAGAUGGCAGCAGAGAGGAUCAUGCUGUUCUGAAGAGAGAGCCAGACACAGGCGACCACUGUGCGGAGCACUGAGAAGGCAGACAAGUCCUGGCUGGAGGGUUAGCAAGAGGGGAAGAUGCAGAAGAUGCCGCCUGGGAUAUGAAGCAAAAAGUUCUCAUGCCCAUGACCCUGUAAACACAGCAAGGAGUGAUUCUUUCAUCUCUCAAUGUUGGACUUCAAAGUAUUCAGAAGCCUCAAAAAUUCGGUGGAAUGUAACAGCAAGGAAGGGCAGGCUGAUGAAAAGAACUUAGACUUAGCAAUUGGCAAGUUUCUCCGAGGAGGUUUAAUAUCUUUUUGCAGGGUCAUUAAAGGAGUCUCACAGCUAAUUCCCUCAUGAAUUCAGCUGUGGAGAAGCAGAGAAAGGAAGCAUGAGAAACAUGUACUCUGUAUUUGUCAAGGCAGGCUAACUGCUACUAAAAAAAUGUCAGUGGCAUAACACAAUAAAUGUUUGUUUAUUGUCUGUCUACAGUUCCAUUUAGGUGCUUGUGGUCAGAUGACCCAUCAUUUCUGCCAAGUGGUGAUUCAGAGACCCAGGCUCCUUCCAUUUAGUGGCUUCACAAUCCCUUGAGGCCUCCUCAGGGUCCCCUCCAUUG